GUGAAUUCUGUGUUAAAUAAUGGAACAGUUUUCUAUCUUAUCUAUACAUUUUGUAUUCUAUACAUUUUGUUGUUGAUUUUGUUAGUGAAAAGUACGAAAAAGUGUAAAAUAAUUUUAAUAGCAUCCACGCAGAAUUAUUGCAAUAAAGUAAGUUGAUAUUUUAUGUCAGGACAUUGUUAACAUGCACAUAGUGUUUAUAUUAGCCAUGCUCUUUAGCUAAUGUGUUAUAUUUCAUAUCAAAACAUGAAAUAUCAACAUUCCUGAAUAAUAGUAACGCUAACUAGGAAUGUUGGAAAUAUUAAAAGUUAUUUAUUAAAUACAGUAGGAGUUUUUGUUAGCAUUUUGUAUACCUGGGUAUGCGUUUAACAAAUAUAAAUAGAUAUUCAAUAAUUUAUCUGCAGUUCAUAUUUACCAUUAUGCAACCUAUAAUAAAAUAAAAUACUGAUUAACACUCAUAAUUCAUGUCCAUUUCUGGUUUGUAUCAUGGUCUCACAACAGUAAAUCACCAAACUGCCAGAUUAAAAUAACUAAUCUUAACUUAUAAUUCAUCUAUAUUCAUCAAUAUUAAACCUAUAGCACCAAUCGAAAAGUUGGGACAAAUUUACUAUAGGUUUUACGCACAAAAUGAUGAAUUAUAUGACAGACAAAAUGAAAUAUACGCUAAAUUUGGUCGUGGUGGUAAUCACUAAGUGAAUACAGAAAUUAAAACUAAAUACAGACACCAGACUCAAGAAGUGAUACUAAUUUACUUAAAAUUUUGCAGAGCUUGUCAAACAAAAAUGUCAUCUAAACGAAAAGACCUUGUAAUUAAACCGAUUAUUUAUUCAGAAAUUAAGUAUCGUUAUCAGGUUUAUCUCAUCUGGGCCUUGUUUAAACAACAGAGGCAUUGUGCACUACACAUUUCUAGGCGUAUAUUAUUUAAAAAAAAAAAAUCGUUGAAAAUUAAAAACAAAUCACAUUUUAUUUAUUUAACAGGUAGAUCCUAAAAACAAAUUUCUUGAAUUAUGUAAAAUUUAUAUCUACAAAUAACCAUUCUUUUUUCAAUUUUAUUUCUUUAAGCAUUUUCAUACUUCUAAUAUUUUUUUUGCAAAUUCAUGAAAAAAGUGUUGACAACGAUUGGUAGAAGUAACGGUACAAAAAUUUGUCAUCAUUCCUUUAUUUGAAAAAAAAAACUUUUUCUACUUUUAGAUUCCAAGCGUAUCGAAGUAGCUAUCAGUAUUACAAUAGUGUUGCAACAAUGUGUGCCAAGUUUUCUGUAAGCACAAAGGUACUUU